CACAGGCAGGAAACCAGUCUUUACUUCCCCUUUCUUUCCCCGCAGCCUCAUCCUGGGGAGCACCGCGCUGUGUGCAGACGUGCCUCGGGCAUGGCGAGAAGGAGCUGGGAUGCCAGGGGUGCUGGUACCCUGCUCCUGCUGAGCUGGCUUGCAGGUGCCAGCAAGAUAGAGACAGAGACCUGCAGCUCCCCAGGUGACUUUUCCCCACCAGCACUCUUCUCAAACAGCUCUUCAGCUCAGGAAGGCGACUUGGUUCUUGCACGCUGCUUCGUAUUUUCCCACUUCCCCGUCGCCCGCAUCUUCUUCUGCAAGAAUGGGGUGGAGCUGGCAAACCACCCAGUCAGGAAAGGGCAGUUCACCUCCACGCUCACCUUCCAGCUCUCCCCAGAGAGCAGUGGCACCUACUCCUGCGGGUACCUGCGCCUGAGCAGCCUCGGACAGGUCAAGCUUUCGAGGCUGAGUGUCCCGUGGUUCCUGAGUGCCGGAGGCAGGAAGGAUGUUCCAAGGAAUGACAGCCUUGCCCCGAGCCCGGAGCUGGCAGCUGAAGGGCUGGGAGUCUUGGGCAGCCUGGCCUUUGUGGUGUUCUCCUUCCUGGCUCUGGCUCUUGCGGUCCAUCUCUUGCUGCAGAUAGGAAAGCGAGUCCAGCUGGCCAGGUUGAAGGCUUUCAUCUCCCGCUAGAAGUUCACAACACCUCACAAACACUGUGAAGGAAGAAAAGUCCAGGAGCCUUUGGAGACAGUGGUCCUGCUGCUGGACCAGAGAAAUGCAUUGGGGUGCUGAGGACUGCUACAUGGGCCACUCUGAUAUCUGCAGUGCCCCAGGGCCGUGGCAGGGGGAAUUGGCUCAAGAUGAUAUCCCUUGGGUCAGGGCCACCUGCACUGUGUAGGCAAUUGCUGAAAGCACCUCUCCAGCCUUUCCAGUGUCCUGAGGACCCAGCUGCUCCAUCUGCAGCCCCAGAGACACAGCACUCAGACACAAAAUGCAGCUCCACCGCCAGAGCCAGCAGUUUGCUCCAGCCUCCUGGUAGCAGCUGUGAACAUUGCGGUGGCUCAGGAGCAAGAAGGUACAUUCAUUAAAAAGGUGCUUCACCCUCUGACUCUUGGUCCUUUUUAGUGGUCUCUGAAAGGCUAGGAGCUGAGAUCCUCCACUAGAUGCAGCUAGGAGCCACAGUCCUAGGGGAGUCCAAGCUGUAGACCUUGCCUCAGACAGGCACGGUUGGAGCCCAUAAAGAUGUAAGGGCUGGACUGCAUUUCCCARAAGCACAGCCAGCACAAAGAACCGCUUGCCAGCAGCACCCAAGGGAGGAAGAAGCUAAACCUGGCAGGACUCUCCAUCAGGGACAUUUUGCGCACUGUUCACCAAACACCUGAUGCAACAGAUCCAUUCAACAGGGACAAGGGGUGAAGGGAAAGGGGAGAAGCUGGGUUUGUUCCAUACCACCCUGCCCCUAAUACCACUCUCUGGAGGGAGGAAAGUGGAAGGGUGUCAGGCCAUUGGAUGCUCUGCCCCGUCCCCCUUUCAGCUGCAUUGAACCCUUCAGAUAAUAACUGCUGGGGGACCCAGGGACAAAAAAAAGGCUUAGAUUUGCAUUUCAGAGCUAUCUUGUGCCAUUCUUCCCCACAAAACCCUUCAGACCUCAUCCUGCCCUCACCUCUGCCCACAGGGCCUCAGCUAAACCACAGCCCCUGAGACUCUGUCCACCUCCRCUCCCCCAGGUCACCGCGAUGCUCUUUUGUUUGCUUGGCUGCCAUUGCCACUUCCAGCCACAAAGCCAAACAAAAAGAAAAAAGCCCUGAGCAAAAUCUGUUCAUCAGAAGGAAACGGUAACCCUGGAAAGCAGUAUCUCACAGCUGAACAUUUGUGGUAACCAUUAACCUCCCAUCAGAUAAGCAGCAGCACAUGAGGAAGCCCAGAGCUGUUCUCUCCUCCUCUGAUGCACAAGGAGGAAAGGGGAACAACAGAACUAGAAAGAGAUUUGGUUCAAAAGAUACUUGCCCAUGGCUCCUGGUAUCUGGCCAGAGCUAGUCCAGUUACACCAGCUUUUCACCUCAAGAAUGUAUCCUUCUACAAGAGAUGAUGGAGGGACGGUGGAGGGGCAGGUUGAUGGACUGACAGGCAGAGAGGUGAGUUAUGUUAUGAGGGAGAUGACUGAUAAGCCUGGCACGAUGGCCAUGGAAACAACAAACACAGGGGUGAUCUGUUAGGCGUAGGGCUACGUUAGCUUUUUGAACCCAGCGUGGAGAAAUGUCGUAAUGAAAUCUAAGCUGUAAUCCCAACCAAAGAGAACACCUUGAGGGGAGGAGCUUUCCUCUAGGCAGAGCGUGCAAGCAAGCUCCCAAGCCCCAGGCGCAGCACAGCCCACCCAACUGUGUGUGCAGGACCUUCAAACACUGCUUCCAGUCCUCACUGCUCAGCAGGGAGUCCUCCAAGCCAGUUAAAAAGGCAGCUAGGAGAUGACAGAAGCAUCCUCCCUCCUUUACAGCCUUCUGAGUCCCCUACCUUCCAGCAACGCAGCCUCAGUUUGGAUGCUCAAUCACUUGGCUCUAGCCUUUAUUGAGGGAAGCACAUGCUGCCUGGCAUCUAAAGCAAGAAGCAAAACAGAGAGCACAUACCACCUGCCUGUCUUGCCUUUUAGCAGGUUCUUCCACUUCUUUGGCCAAGAUACUGCCUAUGGCUACCAGGUGGUGCUUCCUCUGAAUAUGCGGGAGGACCAUCUUUAUCUUCCACAAUUACUUUGAUGACUGACUUAGCAGCAUUGGACAUGGUGGCCGUGACCUGCACAUGGUUGGCAUAGACCGUGAGGGUCUCCUGGCAUUGACGGACCUUGGCUUGCUGGAAGGUGGUGUUAUUAACAUUGCCGGUAGACAGGCUGUUGUACAUCCUCUUGUAGACCUCCUCCAAGCUGCCGUGGUGGGCGUUUUCCAUGGAGAUCUCCAGGGCAACCUCCACAUAGAAAAUGUUGUAGGCAAAGGGGUUGGAGAAGAGGAUGGCCAGAGUGAAGGUGUCUGCCUCGUAUACCGGGACCCCCACGCUACCCCAGAAGCUGAGCAUUACAUUGGCAAAUUGGCACCUCUCCGUGACACCAGGGGGGAUCCUGGGACUGGGUGGUAUACAGCUGUAGCCACUGUAGCAGUAGCUCCUGCAAGGAGAGCACAGUUGAGGAGCAAAGGGAAGGGGAGAGCACUUGGGUGUAUUUUUCACACCCCAAGGAAAACAGUCCAACUUUGGCGCUCUGCAUAAAUCCCGGGUGUCCCCUCCGGCAACAUUUUCUCCACCCCUCACGCUCGCCACCCCCCUGCACCCUCUCACCUGCCGGGGAGCUGUUUAUUGCAGCAUUAUCUGGGGGUAUGCAGGGUCACAUUCCGGGUUUUGUUGCCUAUCUCGAUUUCCACGCUCCGCACAAAGAGAGAGCUCAUCUCCGGCAGCGUCCAGACAUCUGGCGGGGAACAGAGGGUCACUGCUCCAACAAGCUCUCUGGAGGAAGGCAGGCUUUGGCGAUGGAAACCACAGUACUGACUAAAAGCAACCUUCUCCUCACACCCGGGCAAAGUCCUCACCUGAGCAGGGUGUGCUUGCAUCAACACUGUGAUGUGACAGUGCGAAAUUCAAGGCCGAGGCGCUUUYGGACAGACAGUGCUAUUCUUGCGAUUGCUUUCAUGGCAGAGCCGUGAAUCUGCUGCAAUUUGGUGUCAUGAUGGCAGGGAUCACAUUAAUUCAGAGAGCUUUUUCUGACUACCAGAUGGAACCGUGACGUUAUGGGGGAUGGAGGUUCACCCUCUGCCCGAUAAAUAGCUGGAAGGAACAAUGAACUGCUGUGUGGCUAAUUAUAAACUGGGAAGGAAGCCCUCACCCAUGACACAGAUAAGCGGGUAGGAGGGUUUUCCUGGAGUCUCACUGGAAAUCCAGAGGCUGGACGACCGAUGGGUUGAGGCCAUGCACRUUCAUAACCCGUUGCUUCAGCAGCUGCCGGCUGCAGAAGUUGCAGGGCGAUCGCAGGAGGAAAACUGCAAGGGAGGAAGAUAUUCGCAUGUGGACAUACACAUAAAUGAAGGAUACUUUGGCAGCAAGUGAAUCUUAAUGCUCCAAAUGAGCAAAUAUUUAUUUCACUUUAAUACCUGCCAGCUGGGCACCUUAACUCUGCUGCGUUUACUAGUGCAGGCAAUAAAWGUCUCAAGGUGCACUGCA
ensembl:lncRNA